UCCCGAGUGCUGGGAUUAAAGGCGUGCGCCACCACGCCCAGCUAGGUACCCAUUUCUAUCUGACCUCGUGUUUGCUCCAUUUUACCCAGCAGCCCUGACUGACUUGGGUCGUCUCCUCAUUAGCAGAUGGGAUACUCACUGAUACCUCCACUCCAGUCUCUUUCACAGCCUCUCUUCCCUCUGUGGUCUUUAAAUUCUGAGUGGCAUCCCGAGAAUUACAAGCCACUGUUCUUUUCUCUCCCCCAUCAUCCUCUCUGGGACGAGUUCAACAUCAGCAAGCUCUCAGUCAAUGUGGUACGUUGUGAUACAUAGUAAUGUAUCAACAUCUGGUCCUGAGAGCAUACCUACCCAGACUCCCUGCAGAUAUAUCCACCUCAUGAACACAUGGGCAGCUCCAAGAUAUGCCAGAGAGCCCCCAAAUUCAAAAUAUUGCUCAGUUCUCUAUCCUGUUCUCCCAGUCUCUGAAUUUAUGUUAUUUUGAGCCACUUUCUGUGUCAUAAACCCAGCACUAGUGUCUUAGUUAGGACUUCCAUUGCUGUGAAGAGACACCAUGACUACGGCAACUCUUAUACAGAGGUUCAGAGGUUCAGUUCAUUAUCAUCAUGACAGGAAGCAUGGCAACUUCUAGGCAGAUAUGGUGCUGGAGGAGCUGAGAGUUCUACAUCUUCCUCCUAAAGCAGACAAAAGACUGACUUCCAGGCAGGUAGGAGGGUCUCAAAGCCCACCCUCGCCAAGACAUACUUCCUUCAGCAAGGCCACACCUCCUAAUAGUGCCACAUCCCAUGGGCCAAGCAUAUUUAAGCACAGGAGUCUAUGGGGGCCAAGCCCAUUCAAACUGCUAUAACCACCUUUGUCACCCAGCUUUUAUCUUCCAUAUCUGCUGUUCUGCUUCCUGGUUCAUCUGUCCUCUAAAGAACUGUCGGCUGUCCCUCCUCUCGCCCCGCCACUGCGAUUACAAUGCUCCCUCUCUCUCCAUGCCCUUCUUCAGUCCUCUUCCACACUGUCCUUUGAAGGCUGUGGCCUCUUCUCCUGCUUCUUUAGAUCCUCACCAACCAGUGAGUAACUUGACUUGUGGGACUUGUAAACGGCCAGCUCUGCAAACUGACUGUGACACAAGAUAGCCCUGGUCAUGCUGACACAGGACACCCCUGGCCAUGCUGACACAGGACACCCCCAGACCUACGGAAAAGGCACUCUCUUCCCCGGCUGUGGUUCAGAGUCUGCUUAAACGAGUCAGGGUUCUUGCUGCCAUCCAGCCCUGCCUUUACCUGAAACUGUGGAAAAACACUCAUCUUCAAACCUUCUGUUCUUGAAGAAGCCUUUUUAUAUCCUCCGUGAAGAGGUACCAAGCAGGGAAGAAGGGUGAGGUUCUCUGUAACUCUUCCCUUAACCGUUAGCGAGAACCUUCUAGAAUCUCUGUUAGAAAGCAUGAGAGUGAACUCGGUGGUAGAGCAUUUGCCUAACACGAUGAUGAAGACCCAAUGGCAGACAACAUCAUGUGAUAUUAAAAGGGGAAGAAAAGUCUCCCAGAAUAAUUAUCUGUGGCCAAGACUUGAAUGUAAUAUAGUUGCUUGUAAAUUAUGCCAGACUCAAAACAUCCUAAACACUGGGGCCACAUUUUAAAUAGUAUGUAGAACUUUAUAAAUAUCUUAGUGGGUCAGUGAGAUGGCUCAGUGGAUAAAAGCCCUUGCAGCCAAGUCUGACAACCCAGUUUCGAUCCCUAGGACCUACUACAUGCAAGAUACAAGCCUAUUCCUAUCAGUUGUCCUCUGACCUCCACCUGAGCACUGUGGCAUGUGCCAUCCCCCCUCACUUGAAAUAAAAUUUAAAACAUAUUAAAUGUUUUAAUUUAAUAUAUUAAAUUAUUAAAAUAAAUAUAUUUAAUACA
rnacentral:lncRNA from 1 species